ACGACAAAGCCCUUGUCCUUGAGCCCAACAAGGGGGGAGACUCCAGUUAAAUCUACACAAGCGUGUUUCUAAUCAUAUUCAUGGUAGAGUUAAAGACCCUAGAUGAAAUUCGGAGAUAGCAGAGACGAAGGUUUGAGGAACUAAGGUUCCAGCGGAUCUUCAGCGAGAUUUCUGGUAAGAUUAGCUUCGCUUGCAUGUCUUCUUUUCGAACAGAUCGGCUCAUUGGGAGAUGGUUGAGAUUGAGUUUAAUAUUUCAGUUUCCGGCGAGGUUUCCAGACACACUCCAUGUUGGUGAUGGAGUCACAUUUCUUGAGGUUCAAAAUAAAAGGGAGUCACAUUUCUAAAGGCUGCCAAGAAGGAAGUUAUGAUGAUGUUAUAGUUGAAUUUUCAGAUCCGAAACGUAUACCCCUAUAGACGUUUCAUUUUUAAGCAUUUACCUAACAAUGGUCUAAGGCGCCAGACUCAAGUUCUGGUAUUCGGGAAAGGCGUGGGUUCAAAUCAUUACAUUUUUGAUUCAGUCAUCACUACAUUGAUUGUUAAAAAUAAUUUUAAGCUAUAAUGUGUUUUGUUGGAAAUAGCAUCAUAGUAACAACCAAAGAUUCUUGCAUAUAAAUUCUCCUGAAUAUGUGCUAGAUUUCAUAACCGUAUCAUCUUACUUCAAACAUCAAACAUGUACUUAUCUGAGUGGAUGGUUUCACAAGAUGAGUUUGAAUCAGCGAAGCGAGUAUGUAAUCAGCUUAUACUAAAAAGGAAAAAAAGAAGGCAUAAUGUUUUCAACCGGAGGCAUUGUUUUAUUGUAAAUACAUAAUUUGAUGUAUUUUGACCCAUAUGUGUGUGAAUAAAAUGACAAAUUCCGACAAAUCCGCUUGAUUCAUUCUGUUAGCGGAUCGCACACACACCCCGCUUGGUUCCAUUCUGUUCUGGCCACGAUCAAGGUAACCGUAUAUUACUUUGUUUUGUUCUUAAAAUUGGGUUUCUAUUAUACACUUUAUUUUCUUCUUAUUAUAUACAUAUUUUAUAUCAUAUGUAUAUAAAAUUAUCGCCACGUUAAACCUAUAUCAGAUCAUUUGAUCAGAGCAGUGGGACCGAGAACUGACCUCUAUGCCGAUUUUGUUCGUACGGGUUGAGCCUCCAACAGAUGAACCAGUUGUUUUUUAUACUUUGCAGCUAAAUCGGUAAACUAUGGACCGUGUUGAUUCCUAUCUUGAUUUUAACCAUCGAACCAGUAGAGCGUCUGAUUAGGUUUUUAUGUGUAACCGACCCAUCGUUGCUUGGAGAUGCUGGUGAGCUAGAGAUCCGUAUCAAACCCGACCCAGAAAAAGAGACCAUCAAGAUUUCGUUAGGUUCUUUACUUUUCUAGAAGCUUCCAUUGCAUAGUGAAAGCGAUAUCUGUAAUAAUAUUUUUGAUUGUUUUUUAGAGAUACCGGUAUUGGAAUGACUAGAAAAGAGCUAAUACACCACCUUGGAACUAUUGUUCAAAGUGGCACUUCUAAGUUCUUAAAGGCUCUUAAGGACAACAAGGAUCUUGGAAGUGAUAAUAGUUUGAUCGGUGAAUUUGGUGUGUAGGGUUUUAUUCGGCUUUUUUGGUUGCUGAAAAGGUCCAAAAUACGUUUCCUCCCUGAACUGUUGUUAUUAUGCUCACUUUGUUUUGAAAUACCUAUUUUAUUCAAAUAGGUGAGUGUGUCUACAUAGAGUCCAAAUCAGACAAACAAUACAUUUGGGAAGCAUCAGCUCAUAUGUAAUUAAAGAAGAAACUGACCCCGAAAAGCAGCUUCGCCGUGGGAAUCGGUUUUAAAACUGAACUGAUCAUAUUGUGUAGCCUAUCAGUGCCAAAGCUCAAGGCUAAAGGAAGGUUGCUAGAGAAACAAAGACUAAUGUCGUUUACAUCAAUGGGAACCCAACAGUUUGUUUACGGCAGAACAAUGCAGUAUAUUUACAAAGAUUACGAGUAUGAAGUUUAUGAUCACAACUUUGUUGAUGACGUGUCUGCAGCCUUAUAAUCAUGUAAGUUUUUUGUGAUCCAAAUGAAAUAAACCAAAAGAAACAUUAAAGAUUUUUGUGUCCAUAUAGCCAUAUCUCAAACAACAUCAGCCAAUUUCUUUUUAGGCUCACGAAGGGCAUUUUGAAGAUUUUGGUGGAAGGGUUAUGCAAAUGGGAUAGUGCACUUUCAAAGUUAACAAAGAUUAAAUCAAAAUAAACCAAUUUUUAAAACAUGUUGAAUUGCCAUGUAAAUAUAUUGAUUUACAGCUAAGAAUGAAUAUCGAUAAAUUAAAGAA